rnacentral:misc_RNA from 1 species
GAUGAAGAACGUAGCGAAAUGCGAUAAGUAAUGUGAAUUGCAGAAUUCAGUGAAUCAUCGAAUCUUUGAACGCACAUUGCGCCCCCUGGUAUUCCGGGGGGCAUGCCUGUUCGAGCGUCAUUUCACCACUCAAGCCUCGCUUGGUAUUGGGUAACGCGGUCCGCCGCGUGCCUCAAAUCGACCGGCUGGGUCUUCUGUCCCCUAAGCGUUGUGGAAACUAUUCGCUAAAGGGUGUUCGGGAGGCUACGCCGUAAAACAACCCCAUUUCUAAGGUUGACCUCGGAUCAGGUAGGGAUACCCGCUGAACUUAAGCAUAUCAAUAAGCGGAGGA